GAACGCUAGCUACAGGCUUAACACAUGCAAGUCGAGGGGCAGCACUAGGUAGCAAUACUGAGGUGGCGACCGGCGCACGGGUGCGUAACGCGUAUCCAACCUUCCCGUUACUCAGGGAUAGCCUUCCGAAAGGGAGAUUAAUACCUGAUGGUGUUCAAAUUCCGCAUGUUAUUUGAACUAAAGAUUUAUCGGUAACGGAUGGAGAUGCGUGACAUUAGGUAGAUGGCGGGGUAACGACCCACCAUGCCUACGAUGUCUAGGGGUUCUGAGAGGAAGGUCCCCCACACUGGAACUGAGACACGGUCCAGACUCCUACGGGAGGCAGCAGUGAGGAAUAUUGGUCAAUGGUCUGACGACUGAACCAGCCAUGCCGCGUGAAGGUCACGGCCCUAUGGGUCUUAAACUUCUUUUGCAAGGGAGCAAUAAGGUCUACGUGUAGAUCGAUGAGAGUACCUUGCGAAUAAGCAUCGGCUAACUCCGUG
rnacentral:rRNA from 1 species